CCCUCCUUCCGUUCCCCCUUUCAAAAUCACACACACACACACACACAAACACAAACACGCACCUUUACAUAUAGCUUUCCCUCUGUAUCUAUCGAUUUAUACAUUCUCCAAAACGUCAAUAAUUGAACCUAGAUUCGGUUCAAUCACCCGAUUCGUUGUAAUUUUUUCAUGAAAACAAUCUCUGUUGAUUGGAAUCAGGAGGCAGAGGUUCAAUUUUCGAUUGCGCGAGUUUUUUUUUGCUGAUUAAUUUAUAGGGUGUAAAUUAUUGUGUGUGCGCGAUGGGGGGGAUGACGUCGUCGAUGGCGGCGAAGUUUGCGUUUUUUCCUCCGAAUCCGCCGUCGUACCGGGUGGUGGCGGAGGAGACGGGGAAGCUUAAGAUGACGGAGGUGGCGAACCACGAGAACGUCGAUGUUUUGAAAGUGAAGACGAAGAGGGGGACGGAGAUCGUGGCGGUGUACGUGAAGAAUCCCUCGGCGAAGCUGACGCUGCUGUACUCGCACGGGAACGCUGCUGAUCUAGGGCAGAUGUAUGAUCUCUUCAGUGAACUCAGCUUCCACCUCCGUGUCAACUUGAUGGGGUAUGACUAUUCCGGAUAUGGACAAUCCACAGGAAAGCCAAGUGAGCAGAAUACUUAUGCAGACAUUGAAGCUGCAUAUGAGUGCCUGAAAGAAACUUAUGGGGUAAAAGAGGAAGAUGUAAUAUUGUAUGGACAGUCGGUAGGGAGUGGUCCUACUUUGGAUCUUUCAUCACGUUUGUCCAGGUUAAGGGCUGUGGUUCUUCACAGCCCAAUCCUGUCAGGACUUAGAGUUAUGUAUCCUGUUAAACGCACAUACUGGUUUGACAUUUAUAAGAAUAUUGACAAAAUCCCAUUGGUCCAGUGCCCAGUUCUGGUUAUUCAUGGCACUGAAGAUGAUGUGGUAGAUUGCUCUCAUGGUAAGCAGCUCUGGGAGCUGUGCAAAGAGAAGUACGAGCCAUUAUGGGUUAAAGGGGGCAAUCACUGUGACCUGGAGCUUUACCCAGAAUAUAUAAAGCAUUUGAAGAAAUUCAUAUUAGCUGUCGAGAAAUCAGCGCAUCUGAGAAGUGGAUCUGUAGAAUCUGUGGAUCAGAUGGACUCACAAAAAGGUAUAGAUUCCCGCCCCAGACAAAGCACAGAUCAUAGAGAAAAGUCCAGAUCAAGCACAGAUCAUAGAGAAAAGCCUAGGGAAAGUAUAGACCGAAAGGAGAAAUCCAGAGCCAGUGUUGACAAGAGAGAAAGAUCAAGAAAGAGUACGGAGUUAACAGAGAAGCCCAGUAAUAAUGCUGAGCAGCCAGAGAAAGCUAGGAACAGCAUAGAUCGGUUGGCCUCAACUUAGAUAUCUGAAAUUCCUUCACUCUAUAUCUUCGGAGAGAUGAUGAGAUCAGCUGUUUUGUGCAAUAUCGACUGUUUCAAGCCUGUGAGGACAAAGGUCUGAGGAUGGAGGGGAGAUACUUAGAGCGACAGAGAGCAAUACUUGGCUGGUUCAUUUGGAUCAAGGUUUUGAAAUGGGAAACGGAUAUAUAGAUGAUAACUUUGCUUAGGAGCUGCUGUCUUGUUGUAAAUUGCUUGGUAUAUCAUGUUAUGACUUCGACUUUCCAAUGAUUUUUUUGCGGCUUCAGUUAUGUCAAUUAUCGUGGCAAGGAGAUAGUGCAUUAUGUCAUGGUGUAAACUGUAAACUGGAACUAUUUUGAAGUGAAUUGUUUUUGGUUUCA